rnacentral:rRNA from 1 species
AGAGUUUGAUCAUGGCUCAGAUUGAACGCUGGCGGAAUGCUUUACACAUGCAAGUCGAGCGGCAGCGCGGGGGCAACCCUGGCGGCGAGCGGCGAACGGGUGAGUAACACAUCGGAACGUGCCCUAUCGUGGGGGAUAACGAAUCGAAAGAUUCGCUAAUACCGCAUACGACCUGAGGGUGAAAGCGGGGGAUCGCAAGACCUCGCGCGAUUGGAGCGGCCGAUGUCGGAUUAGCUAGUUGGUGAGGUAAAGGCUCACCAAGGCGACGAUCCGUAGCUGGUCUGAGAGGACGACCAGCCACACUGGGACUGAGACACGGCCCAGACUCCUACGGGAGGCAGCAGUGGGGAAUUUUGGACAAUGGGGGCAACCCUGAUCCAGCCAUUCCGCGUGAGUGAAGAAGGCCUUCGGGUUGUAAAGCUUCUUUCGGCAGGAACGAAACGGUGCGGGCUAAUACCCUGUAUCAAUGACGGUACCUGAAGAAGAA